GCCAGAGUAUUGAGAGGGAAACACUGAAGGGUUGGAAGUAAAAUUCCAGCAGGACAUCAGCUGCCUGAUUCUGAAUGCCAAGUACCGGGGCUCCAUCCAUGACUUCCCAGACUUUGAUUCCAAUCAGGAUGCUGAGGCUCUGUACACAGCCAUGAAGGGCUUUGGCAGUGACAAAGAGUCCAUCCUGGAGCUGAUCACCUCCCGAAGCAACAGAUAGAGGCAGAUCUGCCAGAGC